rnacentral:rRNA from 1 species
UAGGGAAUCUUCCACAAUGGACGAAAGUCUGAUGGAGCAACGCCGCGUGAGUGAAGAAGGGUUUCGGCUCGUAAAACUCUGUUGUUAAAGAAGAACAUAUCUGAGAGUAACUGUUCAGGUAUUGACGGUAUUUAACCAGAAAGCCACGGCUAACUACGCGCCAC